GUGUCAGCAGCCGCGGUAAUACGUAGGUGGCAAGCGUUGUCCGGAAUUACUGGGCGUAAAGGGCGUGUAGGCGGUCUUUUAAGUCAGACGUGAAAACCCUAGGCUUAACCUAGGACCUGCGUUUGAAACUGGAGGACUUGAGGACCGGAGAGGGUAGUGGAAUUCCCAGUGUAGCGGUGAAAUGCGUAGAUAUUGGGAGGAACACCAGUGGCGAAGGCGACUGCCUGGACGGCACCUGACGCUGAGGCGCGAAAGCUAGGGGAGCAAACGGGAUUAGAAACCCGCGUAGUCC
rnacentral:rRNA from 1 species